GAGUUCUUCAACUACAACUCUCUACUAGAGUUGGAGAUAAAUGGGAAUUAUGUCAGUUCUACAAAUCAAUUCUGCUUUCGCAAUGCUAGUUUCAACCCAGCCUCCGUUGUUCACUGUGCCACGAGAUCAUGUUAGAGGUAUUUCAGGUUUCACAAUGUUAAUUACAGCACUCCCAAUGCUUCCCACACCCAUGUUUUCUACCAACAUUUACAAAUGGGGCAACCUACAUUCUUUAUCUCUGAUCUUUUACAUGUUAUGGUAGGGAGGUGUAUAUCUUAUAGGCAACAUUCUCAACUGAAUGAAUGAAACUAUUUAGAUUUGAUGUUUUCAGACAUGAGUAUGAUUCUGUAUAAUAAUAAUGGACGAACUGAAAUAUUGUUUCACACAGCUCCACACAUGA
rnacentral:lncRNA from 1 species